UGGUAUUCACUGCUUUCUCCCGGGUUUCUGUAUCGAGUACUGAAGCUGGACGUUUGAAGUGAUUUUGUUGUGUCAGUGAGUGUGUUUCUAGCGGCGCGUUUUUGUCAACUCCGGUUUCGCUUACAUAUAUCUGGCGAUGAACCAGCAAGUGCUCUGGAAUAGAGUGAUGAGCUUUUGUUUUGCUUAGAUAGUUUCGAUCGGUUUUCUCCACAGCUGGUACCGAAAUGGACUUCCUGGUUACAGUGCCUACAUGUUGAAUUUGAUUAGUUUAAGUGCAGUGGCUACUGUAUCCUUUGAUGCGUACGAUAUGCACCUUGCUAGGUGUUUGGGAGAAGAAUUGCGAACGACACAUUUCGUGCUUGAUGCUGAUGAUCUCUCCGUAGUAUGAGAGAUAUUCUACAAUCCACUCUUCGGGCAUCUUAGGCGGCAAAUGAUGCAGUUUUACGUCCGUACCUCCGUCCUCGACGUACAGCCGGAUACGAUUCGGCAACACCAAGAUUGAACGAUGCGGUUGACAAGGUUUUUCUAUACAACGUUACUAAUUGGCAUAUUACAGAUAAGCCACCCUCCGAAAUCAAUAGUUCAGUGUGAGAGAUCGUCCCGGAUUAAGUGUAGGAAGGCACUGGAG